GCGUGGGAGGGAUGAGAGAGGGCGGGGCCGGAAGCGGCGGGUGCCGCGCGGCGGAGGCGCGAGCCGGCGCGGUUGCCCGGCAACGGGGCAGGGGCGGGAACGGGAGCGGCCGGAGCCACCGGGGCCGGAGCGGGGAGCGGGGGGAGCCCGGGAACAGCGGGGGGAGCCCGGGAACAGCGGGGGGGCCCCGGCGGCACUGAGGGUCCCGGGAGGUGUCUGUGCGGGAAGGACGGGGCUGCGUGUGCCCCCGGCGGGACAGCGGGCCCGCAGCCGCCGGCAGCGCCGGGGAGACCGAGCACGGGCCCCUCAGACUCGGCUUCUCCCGUCACCUCUGAGAGGAUUUGCAGGUGCAGCUGCAGCCGGAACCGCCGCGCUCCCCCCGCUCCCCGCCCGCCGGCCGCGCCGUGCAGCACCGCGGGCUGCCGGGCUGCUCGCCCCGUUCCACAUCAAUUAUUACACGUCGCUGUUUUCUUAAUCCUCGCUAAACCUCCCAGAAGCAAACCCGCGGCCCAGCCUCGUCACACUGCGAGGAUCUCCACGCGUGCAGGGCGCAGCAGCUGACGCUCCGGAAUGUUCCGCACAGGUCAGGACGGGCUGAACCGCCACCGUCCCCUCCGCAGGGACACCUGGAGACACGCGGCGUGGGGACCCGUGGAACGGCGAGAACACGGGAGAGCUGCAGGCUGCGCUGACAAGACCAGGCUGAAACACGCGCUGCAGAGGAGCUAUGAGACACAAAGCACCGGGUAUUAACAAGAAUAAAAACUGUGAUUCACUAGAUCAGCAUCAAUGUCGGGGUCGGGCUCUGCUCCCCAGGAACAAGCGCCAGGAGCAGAGGAAACAGCCUCAAGUUGCCCAGGGGAGGUUGAGGUUGGAUUUAGGAACAAUUUCUUCCCCAAAGGGCUGUGGGGCAUUGGAACAGGCUGCCCAGGGCAGUGCUGGAGUCACCAGCCCUGGAGGGUUGGACAGACAGACAUGAGGUUCUCAGGACAUGGGGCAGGGACAGGGGUGGGAGAACAGUUGGACUCAAUGGUCUUAAAGGUCUUUUCCUACUCGCUAUGAAGAAACGAUGUCACCUUUCCUGGUCAUGAGGGACACUUCCCCAGCUAAACAGGGGGAGAGGUGUUAUCAGAACUGGAACUCAGGGCCAACAGAAGAGCAGUUAGAGAUCUGUAAUCCCAAUUUCAGAAUCAUUAAGGAGAAUGAUCACCCUGGAGACUGCCAGCUAAAUUUGUCUUAAAAGUGUAAAUUUAGUUACGUAAGUUACACAGUAAGGACUCUAAACCGAUGCAAAUCAGCAGUAAACGACGAGAUUAUUUCCUUCACUGAAAUCCUGAGAGGGAAGGGGAAACGCGAUCGCCCAGAUGGAGCAGAUAGGGCGGCAUCGCUGCGGGACGCAGCGGCCGGGAGGCACCGCCGGUGCCACCACCGUAACCAGAGCCGAGGGCCGGGGCUCAAAUGCCAAUUGAACACGCAAAACCAGGGACUCCGACCUGUUUUCCAAGACUUUAGACAAGGCACAAUUUUCUGUUACAGCCCCCUCAGGGAAUUGCUCCCCUUGAAAUUGCGAGAGAUUUCUAUUAUAUAGUAGGAUGUAAAGGUGAUAUAACGUUUAAAGCGGCAAAGGGUUUGCGCAGAACCCGUACCGAUGCCCAGUUCCAUACAAGAUUCUGCCUGCAACAGUGCACGGAAAUUAGCUAACGAGUACGUGCCAUUAGCAAACACUUCCUUAAAACUGCUUUGUGCUACUGACAAACCUCCAGUUACAGCUCAGCUGCUUAAUAAUUCCUCGUCUGCAGGAGCGUCGAUGCACGAGGUAAAGCACAAGCAGAUCCAGAGUUCCGAGCACGGAACCAACCGCCGGUGCUGGACCCUGAGCCACAACCACCAACCGGCACGCUUGCCAGGAAAUCCAAAGCUGGGAAUGUAAAACCUGAUGCAGCGCAGAGGAUCGAGUUUAAACCCAACCCAAGAGGAGUUUGCAAUCUGUUCUCGGAGCACUUUGGAGCCGAUACAACGCGCAAGUUUUGAGCACGCGUGUGUCCGCUUCUGUGUUUCUCUCAUUACACUGAAGGCUGGAAAGGGGGGGUUGGUUCCUCCACGGCAUCGGGUGCAGCUCAGCUCCGCUCGGCGUUUCCCGCGGUGUCGUCGAGCCCGCACGGUCCUUCCCCACCAACCCGACUCAGGAGCGUCACCCCAGCGUGUUCACAUUGCUUUUAUUUAGGUCUUCUGCCAACAGUUACAGGGUAACAGACACUUGGGACUGCAAAGUCAAAGUUGCAAGCAAAAACCAGGACCAAGGCAAAAAAGAAAUCCACAAAGGCAAUCAAAUCAAAUAUAAAUACAAUGUUCUGGAGCUCUUUAAUCAUACCGUUUUCUUUAAUAAAGAGGUGGUUAUGAUCUUACAGUAUUUUCUUUUGGCCUAAUCCAAGGACUUUGUUACUCUUUACCAGUCUUAAUUUUACGCAUACAAAAAGAAAAAAAAUUGAUAUUCAACCUUUAAAAUAUAAGCCAUAUUUUCUUAAUAAAAUAAGUUUUGUGCUGCUGCUUGUUUAGUAAGUACUGUACAUCAACUGUUCACGUCUAUUUAACAAAUGGACCAUACAGAGUUCAAGCUAAAGCAAAAAAAACCCCAAAAAAAACAAAACAAAAACCCACAAGAAAAAUAACAACCCAAAGAGAGUGUCUGGCAAACACCCUAUGUGCAGUUCAACACUGGCUUGUAUAAAGGAGGUACGAAAGGGGCUAGAAACGAACACAAAAGCGCUGGAGUCCCGUCAGUUUUCGUUCACAACUAUUGAAGUGCAAAUCACUCAGGCAAGAUAUGAAUUUCACUGGUUUAUUGCUGUCUUGCUGUCUGGCUUCCCUUCCCGAGGAGUCACGUUCCUUUAUUCCACACUCGUUUUUCAAGAUGAAAACCUCCCGUGAGGCAACGCUGAACGCUUGGGCUUCGACACCGAGACAUCGGGUUGGACGUCUGCGACCACCCCCCAGCCCAUCGCCUGCAGAUAUGGACACAGGGAACCGACGGCGCCCAACAAAUGACGGGUGAACCAAAAUCACUCCGUUUCUCCCAAACUGACCCACGCCGCGUCCAGCUGUUCAAUGGGUGAACACGUGGCGAAGGGCGCGACUCGGGGCCGGUGUGUGGUGAACACAGACCCGACACGUCUCUGGGCGAACCCCGAUCCGUACGGGCAGCAAAACGCGCAGCACCUCAACAUGCAAGAAAAGGGUAGAAACGCCAGAGCCGCGGGGAAGGUGCAGUGCAUAGUCCGUCAUACAAAACGCGCGGUAACUCAAACCCCUUCUGAACUUCUUCAAAACGGAAAACAGGGUUUCAAGGGCACAGCAGCUACAAUGUUUGGCUGUUUUAUCGAUUCAAAACCAUGAAAACCCGGCGCAGAGGGUGCAGUAAGGGCAGAACGCGAUCUGCAAGUCAACAGCUGAGCGUUUCAGAAGCUGUGAAGCUUUUGUGUAGUUAAAAUCGCUGUUAAAAGUAGAUGCUACAUCAGCAAGUCUUCAUUCAUAGUUUUCUACGAACAGCCACCUUACAAAUGAGUGCAAAUCUUAAAGGUCCAUUUUACAUUUCAAGUCUCAAGGUUAAAAAAAAAUUGUUACAGAGCAACAAGCUGUUUCUGUAAAUGCCCACACUAUCUCUUUUCAAACGGUUAAAAGCGGCAUGUGCUAAUGCCACGGCUACUAAAAGACAUUUCAGAAUUCUAGACCCAACUAAAACACUAAAAUAAGAACUAGAAACCAAACCACCCUUGCCCCUCGCUGCAGGGCAGCAGCCGGGCACUUUCCGUCGUGAUGCUGGUGAACAAACCGAUUUGCAGAGAGAACCUUGACCUUAACCCCCAUCGUGCGCUUAGCGAGGGGCUUCCUAACACCAGGGGAGCGGGUACGGCCCCUCCGAGGCCGUUUUUGCUGUCAGCGAGCCCAAGCCAGAGUUCGGAGGAUGAGAUGGAGGUGCCGAUUUGUGUCACCAUGCAGGCACUUGUGUAUCGGAAUGUCGCUUCUCCUGUCGACACUCAGUGUUGGUGCGUUCCCUACUCGCCAAGAGCCUUUCCCAGAGCUCCCCAAGCCCACCGGUGCCCCCAGCACCCGCUCUGCCCCCCGUACAGCACUGAGGUCGGCACAAGGAGAGCGCAGGAGCCCAACACUGCGGUCCGGAGGGGAAACGGGACUGUGCUAAACGCAGGAUCUUCACCCAACGCCACCUCAGCGGGCUCAGCACUGAGUUUGCAUAGCUUAUCGAUGUCGGCGUCUUUCACAAACGCGUCGCCCAAAAAGAAAACGGGUCGAGUGACUUCCCGGUGUCAGGACACGUCAAUGGGGCGACACGAGCGAGGUGGUUUUAUGAAGGCAAGUUUAAACGUCGGGAAGUGCAAACCCAAAGGGUGAGUUUCUAUCCACGGACACGGGGCAGCGCUCGCGUGGGUCUGCCUGGGAGACGCGUUCACCUCGGGCAGUGACAUGAUAUAAUAACAGAGCUCUUCCCCUUAGGAGCUCGGAGGAGCGUGCGUCUCAUUUUUUCUCUUGCAGGAAGCGCCGUGCACACUUUCAUAUCAAAAACCCCCGAUAAUCUGCCCACGUGAUACUGGUAAUGAGUUGCUACCACUGCCCCGCCGUGCACUACGGUCAUUCUGUGCAGAAAACGAGUCUGAAAAGCAGCCACUACGUUACUGUCGGGAACAAGGCUUUUUUUCCUGUUACAAACACAAAUCAGCAGGAGUUUCCCCCAUGACGGUAACAAGGAUUUCAUCGUUCUGACUAAGGAACAAAUCUGGUGUGCUUUCAGAAUUAAAACAACAAACCCUGUGCAUGAGUGAUACCAUGACACAAAGAGCAGCAAAUCCUAGCAGCAGAGAGGGCGACAGGCUGGGGGUGCUGGAGUUGGGGUGCGUGGUGUUUCCGAAAGCAGCCGUGUGCCCAACGCUCAGCAACGGGAACCGUUAGAAACCUCUGGCGCGAGCGCGCGGCCUCGGGAACUGCGGGGAUGUAAACUCUGAGAAUGUUAAUGACUCGUGUGUUUUGGCAACAGACUCGGUUAUCGUAUAAAAAUAAUGUUUAGUAAAAAAAUCCCGGUGUCCAUCAUAAAAAUUCAGGAAAAGAAAAAAAAAAAAGGAAGAAAAUAAA